rnacentral:rRNA from 1 species
GCGCGAAAACUUUACAAUGCGGGAAACCGUGAUAAGGGAACCCCGAGUGCCUGUAUAUGCAGGCUGUCCAGGUGUCUAAAAAACACCUGAAGAAAGGGCCGGGCAAGACCGGUGCCAGCCGCCGCGGUAAUACCGGCGGCUCGAGUGGUGGCCACUUUUAUUGGGCUUAAAGCGUUCGUAGCUGGGUUGUUAAGUCUCUUGGGAAAUCUGACGGCUUAACCGUCAGGCGUCUAAGAGAUACUGGCAAUCUUGGAACCGGGAGAGGUGAGGGGUACUUCGGGGGUAGGAGUGAAAUCCUGUAAUCCUCGAGGGACCACCUGUGGCGAAGGCGCCUCACCAGAACGGCUUCGACAGUGAGGGACGAAAGCUGGGGGAGCAAACCGGAUUAGAUACCCGGGUAGUCCCAGCCGUAAACGAUGCGCGUUAGGUGU